GGGCUCGUAGGGUAGUCAGGACAUCCUAAUGGGCUUCGGUGACACCCAUUGACCCGUGUUCAAAUCGCGGCGAGCCCGCCA
rnacentral:tRNA from 1 species